CCAAUCGAACUCGGAGAUAGCUGGUUCUCCCCGAAAUAGCUUUAGGGCUAGCCUCAGGUAGUAAGUAUAGGCGGUAGAGCACUGAUCGGGCUAGGGGCCAUAAAGGUUACCGAACCCUGUCAAACUCCGAAUGGAUAUACUGCAGAGCCUGGGAGUCAGACUACGAGUGAUAAGAUCCGUGGUCAAAAGGGAAACAGCCCAGACCACCGGCUAAGGUCCCAAAUGCCGUACUAAGUGGAAAAGGAUGUGGGGAUUCAUAAACAACCAGGAUGUUGGCUCAGAAGCAGCCACCAUUUAAAGAGUGCGUAAUAGCUCACUGGUCGAGAGUCCCUGCGCCGAAAAUUUCCGGGGCUAAAGUACGGAACCGAAGCCGUGGCUGUGCAUGUAAGUGCACGGGGUAGGGGAGCGUUGCCACAGGGGUGAAGCUGGUCUGGAAGGACUGGUGGACUUGUGGGAAGUGAGAAUGUUGGUAUGAGUAGCGAAAAGAAAGGUGAGAAUCCUUUCCACCGAAAGCAUAAGGAUUCCUGAGCAACGAUCGUCGUCUCAGGGUAAGUCGGGACCUAAUCCGAGGCAAAGAGCGUAGGAGAUGGACAACAGGUUGAUAUUCCUGUACCGGCAGCAAUUGUUUGAGCGAAGGAGUGACACAGAAGGGCAGGCAGGCGCGAGACUGGAUUGUCGCGUGCAAGCGUGUAGGGUAGUGUACAGGCAAAUCCGUACACUGAAAGCCUGAGGCGUUACGCGGAGCGAGCAGAGAUGCGAGCGAAGCUGCUGAUCCCACACUGUCGAGAAAAGCUUCUAGUGAGAGAGCUGCCGCCCGUACCGUAAACCGACACAGGUAUGCGGGGAGAGAAUCCUAAGGUGCGCGGGAGAACCCUCGUUAAGGAACUCGGCAAAAUGUACCCGUAACUUCGGGAUAAGGGUAGCCGUCUUGGUGAAGGAGCUUGCCUCUGGAGCUGAAGGCGGUCGCAGAGAAGAGGCCCAAGCGACUGUUUACCACAAACACAGGUGCCUGCUAAAGCGAAAGCUGACGUAUAGGUGCUGACACCUGCCCAGUGCUGGAAGGUUAAGGAAGGAUGUCCGGGCAACCAAAGCAUUCGACCGAAGCCCCAGUGAACGGCGGCCGUAACUAUAACGGUCCUAAGGUAGCGAAAUUCCUUGUCGGGUAAGUUCCGACCCGCACGAAAGGUGUAACGAUUUGGGCACUGUCUCAACGAGGGACCCGGUGAAAUUGAAAUACCUGUGAAGAUGCAGGUUACCCGCGACUGGACAGAAAGACCCCAUGGAGCUUUACUGUAACCUGACAUUGGGUUUUGUUGUAUUACGUACAGGAUAGGUGGGAGGCUUGGAAGGCUGGACGCUAGUCUGGCUGGAGCCGGCGUUGGGAUACCACCCUUGAUACAACGGAAUUCUAACCGAGAGAGUAACGAAAUCCGGGACAGUGUCAGGCGGGCAGUUUGACUGGGGCGGUCGCCUCCGAAAGAGUAACGGAGGCGCCCAAAGGUUCCCUCAGCGCGGCCGGAAAUCGCGCGAAGAGUGUAAAGGCAGAAGGGAGCUUGACUGCGAGCCAAACACGGCGAGCAGGUACGAAAGUAGGGCUUAGUGAUCCGGUGGUACCGAGUGGAAGGGCCAUCGCUCAACGGAUAAAAGCUACCCUGGGGAUAACAGGCUAAUCUCUCCCAAGAGUCCAUAUCGACGGGGAGGUUUGGCACCUCGAUGUCGGCUCAUCACAUCCUGGGGCUGAAGUCGGUCCCAAGGGUUGGGCUGUUCGCCCAUUAAAGUGGUACGUGAGCUGGGUUCAGAACGUCGUGAGACAGUUCGGUCCCUAUCCAUCGCGGGCGCAAGAGAUUUGAAGGGGUCUGCUCCUAGUACGAGAGGACCGGAGUGGACGGACCGCUGGUGUACCAGUUAUUCCGCCAGGAGUACAGCUGGGUAGCUACGUCCGGACUGGAUAAACGCUGAAAGCAUCUAAGCGUGAAGCCAUCCUUAAGAUGAGAUCUCUCACAGAGUAAUCUGGUAAGACACCUUAAAGAAGAUGAGGUAGAUAGGCCGGGAGUGUAAGUGCAGCAAUGUAUUGAGCUGACCGGUACUAAUAUGUCGAGGGCUUGACUUC
rnacentral:rRNA from 1 species